rnacentral:rRNA from 1 species
CACGUAGGGCGCAAGCGUUGUCCGGAAUUAUUGGGCGUAAAGAGCUCGUAGGCGGUCUGUUGCGUCCGCUGUGAAAACUCGGGGCUUAACCCCGAGCCUGCAGUGGAUACGGGCAGACUAGAGGUAGGUAGGGGAGAAUGGAAUUCCCGGUGUAGCGGUGAAAUGCGCAGAUAUCGGGAGGAACACCAGUGGCGAAGGCGGUUGCCCGGAGCUUUGCUGACGCUGAGGCGCGAAAGCGUGGGGAGCGAUCCGG